CCUGAGCGUGCUGUUCAGGUUUCCCUGUGAAGCAUUUUUUUGCUUUCUGCCGGUCAGAAAAAGAAAGACAGUCAGGCAAAACAUCGGGAUUAUGUUCUGCUGUUGGACACAGGGAUCUCGUGAAGGCUAAGGAACAAAUUCAGGUGGUACACCCAGCAGAUAACCCCAGGACUAAGAAAUCAGUCUAGGCAGGCAGUGGGGGGCCGGCGGGGGGGAGGUCAGUCAGGUAAAGCCAUGUGAACACGAUGCUCCUGGAAUAAUGUAUGGUACCUGGUAGUAAAGGAGAGGAGGAGCAUCCCUGGUGAGACUAAAGGGCUGAGGAAAAGGGACGAGAGAGAGGCAGGCACCUGCUCUGUGAAGUGGCCUGAGUGGGUGGGGCAGGGGGUAUGUCUAGGAGGUUGGUUGUAGCAUUUUCAUAAGAUGAAGGCAGGUAUUUGUGCGUCAGUCACUGGGAGAUUUAACUUAGUAAAAUUCAGGGGAAAGUGCUGAGAUUUGACAUCGUCCCCCCCCCCCACCCCAGGACCAUUUCCAAGAACAAAGGUAGGUAGAGUGCUAGUCGACAGAAGCUAGAAGAUGCUCCAGAAGGAGACGCUUAAUGUAGAAGCUGACGAUGAGGGAGGUUUGUCAUCAAGACCAACACGAGAGCAGCUGUCCAGGCAGAUGUGAUUAUUCCGGUUCUAAAGAGAGGUGGUUCCCUGGAGUGGAAAUGAGGAAAAGCUGAAACAGCAUGACAAGUGGGAUAUCUCUUUAGAUGUCUGUGCAUUGCUGCUAAGGCCAACUGUGGAGGACCAAAGCUCAGAGUAUCCCACAGCCCCUCGUUAGAGAGUCUGUAUCAGGAGAACGAACAGACUGGGAGGGUCAGUUACAGGAAAAAAUGAUGUAACUUCAUGGGUAAACCCCCAGGGUUGAGAGUCCCAAGGAAACCAGCGACCUCUGUCAUGCACGUCAUUCCCAUUACUCUGAUUGGCUAGUCACCACCCACCUCUAAGUGUUGAUGCCGCUUCCCAUGCUGCUUCCUUACAGGGGGAGACUGCUCUUCCAGUCCCCUUGGAAUCGUGUUUAUUUUAUGAGAUGAACGUGCGGAUACCUGGCUUCAAGCAUGGAUCUCUUGUGCGUCUCUUUAGUACGUGACCGUCUCUGAGACAUCUGACAUACCUGCAGCAUUGACUGCUUGUGUUCCUGGACCUUUGCCCUGAGGGUGCUUAGUGCCUGGACCCCACCCCAUGCUGACUCCCCUCGCUGGGGCUCCGUGUGCCAUCUGAGCAGCCUCCCUGUGGGACACCUCUGUUAAGUGGUCCCAGACCACAGUGAAUGAACACAGCGAAGCACCUGGCAAAAAGGUGUGGCGAUUAAGGGAAGAAUAGGAGGGUCUUGAAUGUCUGACACAAAAGAAUGAGGCUCUUUUGGGGGCCAGGGAGGGUGGCUCUGGGCUCUGGGCUUCUGGCCAGGAUUUCUAGGAGCCUGCAGUCACUGAUCCUGGCACCACCACCCUUCGUCAGCCCCUUCCUUUCCCACUGCUUCCUCUUCUGUCUCCAGCUUGGAGACAUGCUUGCUCUGUCCUGCAGUGGGCAGCACGUCCGGAAAGGGGAGGGGCUUGGCUAUGUCAAACCAAGAGAUGUUUGCCCUUUGAACUGGGUGAGAUGCAGCAGGAUUUAGUAUGUGUUUGUGUCCGUGUGAAUCUGUCCGUUGUUGGAGGCAACCAUGCCCUCACCUGCUUUCCCAGCUCUUCUUACCUGGCUGCUCUCUGCUGGGAGAUGCUGUCAUGGAACCCCCAUCUCCACUGGCUCCUUGCGUGACCUUGGAUGAUGGGAAGGUCACAGCUAGCACCGAGGCUUGAGGAAGCUUUUCUCACUGGAGGAGAACACUGAGAUUCAGACACUGUGCCUUUCUGGGUCUGUCUUGAAUGAUUUGGAGGAAAUGUGUAGACCUCCCUUCUCUGGAGACUGGGGCUUUCAUGGGGAUCAGGGUAGCAAUAGUUGCCACGUCUGGGUGUCCCUAGGGUGGAUUCCCCACAGCUUCUCAUUAGUGGCAGACAUAGGAAGUGUUUGUCACUCCUCUUCUAUCUGGAAUCUGAAAGUAGGAGCAAAAACCAAUUCUUGUGCAGAUACCUUUUGCACAAUAUUGGACAUUCAACUCCAUUUUUCUUUGAUUUCCAAAAUAGGAAACAGACUAAGCCAGGAGGGUAGAGGGAGGUUACUUGUGAUCAUGAAAUAUAUAACACACAUAAAUAUUUUACCCAUAGAGAAACUGUGUAAAAAAACCCAAACAAAAAUUUUAAAAUCCUUAGAGCAAGUUCCUGUUGUGGGGCAGCGGAAACAAAUCUGACUCGUAGCCAUGAGGUUGUGGGUUUGAUCCCUGGCCUCGCUCAGCAGGUGCGAGCUGCGAUGUAGGUUGCAGACUCGGCUGGGAUCCCACGUUGCUGUGGGUGUAGCAUAGGCGAGCAUCUGUAGCUCUAAUAGAACUCCAGCCUGGGAACUUCCGUAUGCCGCUGGUGUGGCCCUAAAAAGCAAAAAAUGAAAUAAAAAUAAAAACCCUUAGAAAUACGCAAAGAAUUUCACUAAAUAACGCUUUUGCUGGAAUAUUGUUUAUGCUUUACUCAGAUGUAAUCAACCAAGUAGGCAAAAAUAGUGAUUACCAGAGAUUGAAUUACCAGAUGAAAGUCUGAUCUAAAACAUGUAUAUAUAUCAGAUCCACCGCUUAAGAGUAAAUGACAAUAAAAACAAAAAUAAACAAAUGGGACUUAAUUAAACUUCAGAGUUUCUGCACAGCAAAGCAAAAACCCUAAACAAAAUGAAAAGACAACCCACAGAAUGGGAGAAAAUCUUUGCAAAUGAAUCGACUGACAAGGGACUAAUCUCCAAAACUUAUAAACGCCUCCUACAGCUGAAUACCAAAAAAACAAACAACCCCAUCAAAAAAUGGGCAGAAGCUCUAAACAGACAGUUCUCCAAAGAAGACAUACAGAUGGCCAUAAAACGUAUGAAAAGAUGUUCAACAUUACUCAUUAUUAGAGAAAUGCAAAUCAAAGUCACUGAGGUACCACCUUACACCAGCUAGAAUGGCCAUCAUCAGAAAGUCUACAAUCAAUAAAUGCUGGAGAGGGUGUGGAGAAAAAGGAACCCUAUUACACUGUUGGUAGGAAUGAAUAUUGGUGCAACCGCUUUGGAAAACAGUAUGGAGAUUCCUCAGAAAACUAAAAAUAGAACUACCAUUUGAUCCAGCAAUCCCACCCCUGGGCAUCUAUCCCGAGAAAACCAUGACUUGCAAAGACACAUGUACUCCCGUGUGCAUUGCAGCACUAUCUGCAAUAGCCAAGACAUGGAAACAACCUAGAUGUCCAUUGACAGAGGAGUGGAUCAAGAAGAUGUGGUACAUAUACACAAUGGAAUAUUACUCAGCCGUUCAAAGGAAAGAAAUAACAGCAUUUUUAGCAACAUGGAUGGACCUGGAAAUUAUCAUGCUAAGUGAAGUCAGUCAGUCAAUGAGACACCGACAUCAAAUGCUCUCACUUACAGGUGGAAUCUUAAAAAGGACACAAUGAACUUCUUUGCAGAACAGAUAACUGACUCACAGAUUUGGAAAAACUUAUGGUUUCUAAACGAGACAGGUUGGGGGUGGGGGAUGCACUGAGGGUUUGGGAUGGAAAUGCUGUAAAAAUUGGUUGUGAUGAUUGUUGUACACCUAUAAAUGUAAUAAAAUUCAUUAAGUAUUUAGAAAAAAAGAAAAAA
rnacentral:lncRNA from 1 species